rnacentral:rRNA from 1 species
GCGAAAUGCGAUAAGUAAUGUGAAUUGCAGAAUCUAGUGAAUCAUCGAAUCUUUGAACGCACAUUGCGCCCCUUGGUAUUCCGAGGGGCAUGCCUGUUCGAGCGUC